GGAUAUAUAACCAUAGGCAAGGUAGACUAUUUGCUAAAUAGUUAGAUAUUUUCUUUAAGAGUUCGAAUCUCUUUAUAUCCG
rnacentral:tRNA from 1 species